rnacentral:ncRNA from 2 species
GGGCCGGUAGAGUGGCCGCGUCGUCAUCACACCCGUACGGGGGGAAGCCGGUGCAAAUCCGGCGCUGACCCGCAACCGUGAGCAGCGCGCAGGCGCUGCGAGCCGGACUACCCCGCGCGGUACGUGAACGGCUC